AUUGAACGCUGGCGGCAUGCCUUACACAUGCAAGUCGAACGGUAACAGGUCUUCGGAUGCUGACGAGUGGCGAACGGGUGAGUAAUACAUCGGAACGUGCCUAGUAGUGGGGGAUAACUACUCGAAAGAGUGGUUAAUACCGCAUGAGAUCUACGGAUGAAAGCAGGGGAUCGCAAGACCUUGUGCUACUAGAGCGGCCGAUGGCAGAUUAGGUAGUUGAUGGGAGAAAAGCUUACCAAGCCGACGAUAUGUAGCUGGUCUAGAAGGACGAUCAGCCACACUGGGACUGAGACUCGGCCCAGACUCCUACGGGAGGCAGCAGUGGGGAAUUUUGGACAAUGGGCGAAAGCCUGAUCCAGCAAUGCCGCGUGCAGGAUGAAGGCCUUCGGGUUGUAAACUGCUUUUGUACGGAACGAGAAGCCCCGGGUUAAUACCCUGGGGUCAUGACGGUACCGUAAGAAUAAGCACCGGCUAACUACGUGCCAGCCGCCGCAGUAA
rnacentral:rRNA from 1 species